rnacentral:tRNA from 1 species
CGGGAUGUAGCGCAGCUUGGUAGCGCACCUCGUUCGGGACGAGGGGGUCGCAGGUUCAAAUCCUGUCAUCCCGACUA